rnacentral:rRNA from 1 species
UACAGAGGGGGCAAGCGUUGUUCGGAAUUACUGGGCGUAAAGGGCGCGUAGGCGGCCGCCUAAGUCAGACGUGAAAUCCCUCGGCUCAACCGGGGAACUGCGUCUGAUACUGGGUGGCUUGAAUCCGGGAGAGGGAUGCGGAAUUCCAGGUGUAGCGGUGAAAUGCGUAGAUAUCUGGAGGAACACCGGUGGCGAAGGCGGCAUCCUGGACCGGUAUUGACGCUGAGGCGCGAAAGCCAGGGGAGCAAACAGG